rnacentral:lncRNA from 10 species
UGGUUAGCUGCCUGGUGCGGGUGCUGAGUUGACCUAGGGUUCUGUUUCGCUGGGGUUGGCAUUUUGUACAGCCAAUACAACCGAGAAUGAUGGCCGUCGGAGCUCGGAGUGAAUACAGCGAAUGAUUCCAAUAGGAACCACGGACUCUGAUCUGGGUAAACAGGGAACAGCAUUAGACUCUGGGACCAUCUCAUAAUGUUUGUGUACAUUCCUGUUGUCUUCUACCUCCCAUCCACCGUGUCUCUCUACUGCCUAUAACCAGCCUACAUAAGGCCCUGAACAGACUGGAUGAUGCCCACCCACACGGAUGAAGGGCGGAUGUUGUUUACUCAGUCUGCUGAUUCCAACGCUAAUCUUUUCCAGAAACACCAUCACAGACACACCGAGAAAUAAUGCUUUAUCACCUAUGUGGGCAUUCUUGAGCCCAAUCAAGUUGCCACAUGAAAUUUACCAUCACACCUACCUGUCCACCUCUGCCCACACCUACUUUAAGUUUAACCCAAUAAUAAAUGAGACUUAAUCUCAUUUUUAGAGCCCUCCAAUGAAAAAUUUGUUAUUGUACUUCAUAAGACUUUUUGAUAUUUAACAGGUCUCAAGAAAGAUUUUUUUUGGCAAAAGCCAUACUUACACAAAGAAGACAUGGGUUUUAGACUGACUUUGGCCCUUUCUACCUGUAGGGUCACAUACUUUCACAAUAUGGACAAAAUGAUGCUACUGUGCCUUUCCCACAGGAUUGCUGUAUAAAUCAUUUGUGAAUUCUAAGAUUAUUGAGAUGAUUAUGCUUAUGAAUAUCUUAUUAUAUAAUAACUUUUCCCAUUUUAAAAAGAAUUGCAUUUAUAGACAUAAAUGACUAAGGUGGCUUUUAAAAUUCCCGAAGAAAAUCUUUUUAGAUAUAUACCAUUCUAAUGACUUGUAUUUAUUAGACAAGUCUGGAUUUAAAAAUGGGAGUUUAUAGUCAUUUAAGCCAACUAAUAAUAAUAUCUAAGGAGCCUGGAUGAGUAAAGACUCUUCAAUUCACAGUCAAAUGCCAAGUGAGGCUUAUAUUUUCGUUAGGAAAGUUUCGCCAGGGUGAUUGUUUUAAUUACUUUUAUUGGAAUAACAGUAGCUAAUAAAGCAAUCCAGAUUGUUACCAAGCUCAGUAGGAGAGAAAAUAAUAGGAUGUCUUCACAUCUUAUGACUAGAAAUCAUGUCCUCAGAUACUUUGUUUCUUCCUCUUUCAUUGUGGUGUGAAAAGUAGAAAGAAAGCUCCCCUCUGCAGGGGAAGUUUUAUAGAGAUGGUAACCUGGUUAUACUCUGUCUUUUAGGAAUCCUUGCAGAGUUGGGAAUAGCACAUUUCUCACUAUAUAUAUAUAUAUAUAUAUAUAUAUAUAUAUAUAUAUAAUAUAUAUAUGGUAAUUUUUGUGUGGAUUUAUAUUACCUUUGAUCCCCAGACAUUGUUUGAAAAACUUGAGGAAGGAGGAAAAAGAAUCAGAUGGUGACGGAACUCAUGUGGCUGACUGAG